GUGGGGAAUCUUGCGCAAUGUGCGAAAGCCUGACGCAGCCAUGCCGCGUGAAUGAUGAAGGUCUUAGGAUUGUAAAAUUCUUUCACCGGGGACGAUAAUGACGGUACCCGGAGAAGAAGCCCCGGCUAACUUCGUGCCAGCAGCCGCGGUAAUACGAAGGGGGCUAGCGUUGCUCGGAAUUACUGGGCGUAAAGGGCGCGUAGGCGGACAGUUUAGUAAGAGGUGAAAGCCCAGGGCUCAACCUUGGAAUUGCCUUUGAUACUGGCUGUCUUGAAUACGGGAGAGGUGAGUGUAACUCCGAGUGUAGAGGCGAAAUUCGUAGAUAUUCGGAAGAACACCAGUGGCGAAGGCGACUCACUGGCCCGUUACUGACGCUGAGGCGCGAAAGCGUGGGGAGCAAACAGGAUUAGAAACCCGUGUAGUCC
rnacentral:rRNA from 1 species